rnacentral:lncRNA from 1 species
AUGGUGAACACUCCUAAAACCCACUGGACUUUCUGUAAGAAGUGUGGGAAGCACCAGCCCCACAGAGUGACACAGGACACAUUUCCCUGUAUGCCUAGGGAAAGCCAUGUUAUGACAGGAAGCAGAGGGGCUAUGGUGGGGAGACUAAGCCAAUUUUCCAGAAAAAGGCUAAAACUACAAAGAAGAUUGUGCUAAGUUUUGAGUGCAUGAAGCCCAACUGCAGAUCUAAGAGAAUGCUGGCUAUUAAGAGAUACAAGCAUUUUGAACUGGGAGGAGGUAAGAAGAGCAAGGGCCAAGUGAUCCAGUUC